ensembl:rRNA 5S_rRNA 5S ribosomal RNA
UUUCUGUGGCAUACCAACCUGAGUGUGCCUGGUCUCAUCCACUCUCAGAAGCUAAGCAGGAUUGAGCCUGGUUAGAACUUGGAUGGGAAAAUGCCAGUUAAAAUCUGGACUAAAAAAAG